GUGCCCACUUCGGUGGCACAGACACUAAAACUGGAGUGAUACAGAGAUGAGCAGGUCCCUUGCACACAGAUGACGUACACAUUCACAAAGCAUUCCACAGUUAG